UAUACUGCAAUAUACUACAAUUUAUACUGCAAUACAUUAGAAAAUAUAUCACAAUAUAUCACAAACACGCUCAUAUAUUUGAAAAUAUAUAGCAAUAUAUUAUUGAACAACAUAUUACUAUAUAUUGAUCCAUAUAUUUUAAAAUAUAUGGCUGGCAAAACAAAACUGUAUUCCACUAUUCAGUCUGUAUUUCUUGAUGUUUUUAGUUCAGCAAGCACAUUUUGCACGACAUUGGACAUUUACUCGACAUUAUAAAGUCAUUUUAGGUGGACCAUAUAUGGCCAUAUAUAAUAAUAUAUUGAUCAAUAUACAGGAGUCUCUGAUUGAAUCAUCUCAGCUCUCAUAUCACGUAUGACGCGCCUACGUCACGUCGUCACAACCUGAAGCUAAAGUGGCGAGAGAGCCGUCUCGGCUCGAGCGCGGUCCGGAUUUUAGCUCCACACUCCACUGUCGCCAGCCAGACUCCCCACCACAGUGACACAAACCAACCAGCCGCCUCGAGAGGUUGCUGAAGAGGUAUGCAGCGAUGGUCUGGAGGAAAAAAUAGUCACAUGGACUGGUGUGCAUUCCAGUACUUGAAAUGAUGCUGUUGCUCAGGCACAUCCAGGUGCGAGGAUGGGGGAGAUCCGGAUGUCGCUAAAUAAAA